GCAAAUAUUUAUAUAUAUUUAUAUACUAGUAUAUAAGCCUGUGUAUGACCGGGAUGAGUGAGCUAUUUCUCUUCAAGGACAUAAAUAUUUAUGGCAGCAUGAUCUCUGUAUUAUUUUUUCUCAAUAAAUGACAUUUUCCAGUCUGUUGAUUUUAAAAAGUGAAUGAAUUGAGGCCCUGCCAUAGAUCAUUUAAAGGAUUGCAAACUGCUCAGAAUGGCAAUCGAAAGCACAAGCUCAGCACCAAAUACUUUCCAAGGAAUGAGACCGGAAGAGUCCAGUUCUUCUGGAUGAAAAGUCAUGUUUCCAGAUAGUCGACAAGUCUCUGGUUCUGGAUCAAAUCAAGUUUCUGGAUGGAAAGUCGUGUUUUGUCCAACAACAAAAAAUAGUCGGAAUAAAUCCAAAAUAUCCGUUGAAUUCCGUUUUAUUUCAGGCCAAUAUAUUAUUGCAUCUGCUAUUUUGAAUUCAGAAAAACUAUCAUCAGAUUCCUGUUUUUUUACCCCAUGAAUCUCCAUAUACU
rnacentral:lncRNA from 1 species